GCUGUAUCGAUUGUUGAGAUCUGGCGACUUGUUUAAAUUUCAUCAGCCUCACUUCUAUGAACUCUCAGGCCUCACGUGUACCAGCUCUCUGCUCUCCUUUGCCUUGGGACGUUCCAUCCCUGGAAGUUUCCCUGCCCACAUCUUUGUAGAGAGUCCAUUCUCCAAGCUUCAGUGUGUCAUCUGUGAGGACCGUGACCCACCUGGUACAUCGCCUCAGGGCAUUCAUUUCAGGCUCCUUCUAAAUGGCCAAGAGACAACACCAACAUUUUUGUAAUGGCCUGCAAGGCCUUCCGAGAUCUACCUCCUGCAACUCAGCUUCUCCUGUGCUCUCCUUCUGGACUCACUCUGCCUCAGCAACACUGGUCCCUGUUGCCCCACCAAUAUGCCAGGCACCCUUGGAAAUGCAAUGCUACAUCUCAAUGGGAUUUUCCAGUACAAAGAUUCUUUUCAAAUAACAUAAUUGUGGAUACACACCACUCCUACAGUGGUAAACCUCAGGUUCUCCUCCUGCCUUUUGCUAAGUAUAUGUCUUGAUGACAAGCCUUCUGCUGAUGAGCUGUGUUUCUGGACCGAUCAUGGUAGAAGUCAAUUAACGUGUCCCUCACUUGGGGUUUCUCAAGGCUGCACUGAUGAGGAAACUGAAACAGAAAAUCCAGAGUAAAUUCCACCAGGCCACACAGCAAGGUCUGAUAGAGCCAGGAGAGACUUUAUGAAAUCCAGACUCUCACACUAAUGCUCUAUCAGCUAGACCUCCAUGUGAGUCUCCCCAAUGUAGGUAGGAAGUGCUUUCCC
rnacentral:lncRNA from 1 species